GACGAACGCUGGCGGCGUGCUUAACACAUGCAAGUCGAACGGUAAGGCCCUUCGGGGUACACGAGUGGCGAACGGGUGAGUAACACGUGGGUGAUCUGCCCUGCACUUCGGGAUAAGCCUGGGAAACUGGGUCUAAUACCGGAUAGGACCACUGCCUGCAUGGGUGGUGGUGGAAAGCUUGUGCGGUGUGGGAUGGGCCCGCGGCCUAUCAGCUUGUUGGUGGGGUAAUGGCCUACCAAGGCGACGACGGGGAGCCGGCCUGAGAGGGUGACCGGCCACACUGGGACUGAGAUACGGCCCAGACUCCUACGGGAGGCAGCAGUGGGGAAUAUUGCACAAUGGGCGCAAGCCUGAUGCAGCGACGCCGCGUGAGGGAUGACGGCCUUCGGGUUGUAAACCUCUUUCAGUAGGGACGAAGCGCAAGUGACGGUACCUACAGAAGAAGGACCGGCCAACUACGUGCCAGCCGCCGCGGUAA
rnacentral:rRNA from 1 species